ACCCAUCUGAUGAGUCCUAAAUGGGACGAAACGCGCAUCCUGGAU
rnacentral:hammerhead_ribozyme from 1 species